rnacentral:rRNA from 1 species
UACGGGGGGAGCAAGCGUUGUUCGGAUUUACUGGGCGUAAAGGGCGCGUAGGCGGCCACCGCAAGUCGGUUGUGAAAUCUCUGGGCUUAACCCAGAAAGGUCAACCGAUACUGCGGGGCUAGAGUGCAGAAGGGGCAACUGGAAUUCUCGGUGUAGCGGUGAAAUGCGCAGAUAUCAGGAGGAACACCGGUGGCGAAGGCGGGUCUCUGGGCCGAUACUGACGCUGAGGAGCGAAAGCGUGGGGAGCAAACAGG